CAUGUUACCUUCUCUAUAAAAAUAUGGACAAAAGAACAAUUGAGCUUCUUCAUUUUGUUGUUAAUCGUGGUGAUAACAACUUGAGAUUCAAAUUCAACAACCACAAAAUAGUAGUCAUAUACAUAAUUCUAAACCUUGAACUAAGGCCUUAGCCUCUGUCAUAUGAUUACUGCAUAUAGAAAUCAACAUAGGCCAUAAGGACAUUUCAAAUGUGAUCUCAAUAAUACCUCCACCUCGGGAGCUUCCUAGAUUUCCUUUGCAACACACAUCUAAGUUGAAUUUAACACAACCAAUAUCAGUCAAAUGAUGAUAAAUCGUUAGCACCGCAUUAAAAUAUUAGCAUUUCUGGUUGUUUCACAUUCACGAUUUUGGUAGCUUUAUGCUACAUUGGUUGUGUUGUUGCAAAAGAUGAAGACACGCUUGAUGGUUUAAAGCCAAAUGGAAAACUCUCUGUUAUGGCGGGGUGAGGGGUGGGGAUAGUUAUAAUUUUAUUUAUUAUAAUUGUAAUAUUUUUGGAGGCGCGCCAUAGGAUUAGACGGUAUGCCUCUGCGGAACCUAUUUGGCGCGUAGUGAAGUUAUUCCCUCGUGUACAGUAUUCGGUACAAGAGGAAAUUAACUUCACGGUCGGUACAUGCUACAUCUGUUUGAGUGAAUUCAAACAGACUGAGUACGUACGAGUCCUAUCCUGCAACCAUGUGUAUCAUCAUGACUGCCUACUCAAAUGGAUGACUAGGAACAUGAUGUGCCCAGAAUGCCGUCGUGAUUAUAGUCAUCAUUUAGAGGCUUAAAAUAUACUCCCUUUGUCCCAAUAUAUGACAUACUUUUCUUUUUAGUCAGUCCAAAAAAGAAUGACAGAUUUCCUUCUUUGGCAAUAAUUUAACUUUAAACACUACUUUUUACGCUUAACGAGAUGAUCUAUAGCCACAUAAAUAUCUUUGGCUUGUUUUAGACCACAAGAUUCAAAAGUUUUUCUUUAUUUCUUAAACUCCAUGCCCAGUCAAACUAUAUCAUAUAAAUUGGGACGGAGGGAGUAUAAGUUAACAUACAUAUAGAGGGGACACGGUAUGCACGUGUGACGCAGACAAAAGCUAGUUUUUAUUAAAUAUAAUUGAUAGCAUAUUGGGAUUUGGCUUUAGGUCACCAAUUACAUUGAGUCGAAACAGUAUGCACAUGGACACACGAGAUGCACGCACGACGCAGACAAAAGUUAGUUUUUGUUACAUUUAGUUCCCACGAUCUAGGUUUUUUUUUUAGGCCCGGGAUCGAUCUGGUUUAGUAUCAAGGUGAUUCUUUUUCUUUUCCUAUAUAUAUGGGUCCGUGUAGAUCCGAUGAGCUCAACUUCCACUGAAAAAGAGAGGCUCGACCUCAACCUCAAAUUCGAAGCCUGAUGGGAGGUGCUGGUAAGGCCGGGACCGUGGUCGUCCGUCUCCGGUUUGCCGGCCGAACACUAACAUAUAGUUAUAGUUGAAAUGACUUUGACUUUGAUGAUAAAUAAUGGAGUACCAAAGCAUCUAUGGGUUGAAGCAUUCACUACUGCAACGUAUUUGCUCUCUCCUAGCAGCCUUGCCUUAACCGACUGUGCGGGUUGGUUGUCAUACCUAUCCCUUCAUGUCUUUCCUCUUUGAUUCAUUCCUUGGCAGCUACCUUAACCCGAGGAUCAAACUUACCAUUUUUAGCCCUUAAGUGUUGGUGGGGGUUGCUUGAAAAUAGAACUGCCCCAAAACAGAGUUUCUAUUCAAAUCCCUAUUUCCCGGUGGUAGGAAGAACUGAAAUAGGUUUCCUGAAGAAAAGAAGGGGCGGAUGAGGGCACCGCACCCCCUCACGAGGUACUCAUAGAAGAGGGCGGGGCAUUUUCGGGGACUAGCCCGCUUCCCAUUACUGGCAAAGAAAGAAAGGCAGGUUCAGGCGAUUGAUCAAAAAAAGAUUUCCUUCCCUUUUUACAUUGUAUAAUAGUAUAAUUAAGUGCAUAAAAACCUGACACACCUAUUAUAUAAUGUGUAUAUAUCAUUUAUGCACUUUGUAAUAGUGCUAAA